rnacentral:rRNA from 1 species
AUUGAACGCUGGCGGCAGGCCUAACACAUGCAAGUCGAGCGGAUGAAGGGAGCUUGCUCCUGGAUUCAGCGGCGGACGGGUGAGUAAUGCCUAGGAAUCUGCCUGGCAGUGGGGGAUAACGUCCGGAAACGGGCGCUAAUACCGCAUACGUCCUGAGGGCGAAAGGGGGGGAUCUUCGGACCUCACGCUAUCAGAUGAGCCUAGGUCGGAUUGGCUAGUUGGUGGGGUAAAGGCCUACCAAGGCGACGAUCCGUAACUGGUCUGAGAGGAUGAGCAGUCCCACUGGGACUGAGAAACGGUCCCGACUCCCAAGGGGGGCAGCAGUGGGGAAUAUUGGACAAUGGGCGGAAGCCUGGUCCAGCCCUGCCGCGUGUGUGGAGAAGGUCUUCGGAUUUUAAAGCACUUUAAGUUGGGAGAAAGGGCAGUAAGUUAAUACCUUGCUGUUUUGACGUUACCAACAGAAUAAGCCCCGGCUAACUUCGUG